GUGGGGAAUUUUGGACAAUGGGGGCAACCCUGAUCCAGCCAUGCCGCGUGCGGGAAGAAGGCCUUCGGGUUGUAAACCGCUUUUGUCAGGGAAGAAAUCCUUUGGGUUAAUACCUCGGAGGGAUGACGGUACCUGAAGAAUAAGCACCGGCUAACUACGUGCCAGCAGCCGCGGUACUACGUAGGGUGCGAGCGUUAAUCGGAAUUACUGGGCGUAAAGCGUGCGCAGGCGGUUGUGUAAGAUCGAUGUGAAAUCCCCGGGCUCAACCUGGGAACUGCAUUGGUGACUGCAAGGCUGGAGUGCGGCAGAGGGGGAUGGAAUUCCGCGUGUAGCAGUGAAAUGCGUAGAUAUGCGGAGGAACACCGAUGGCGAAGGCAAUCCCCUGGGCCUGCACUGACGCUCAUGCACGAAAGCGUGGGGAGCAAACAGGAUUAGAUACCCGAGUAGUCC
rnacentral:rRNA from 1 species